GUACACUCCUACGGGAGGCAGCAGUGGGGAAUAUUGCACAAUGGGCGCAAGCCUGAUGCAGCCAUGCCGCGUGUAUGAAGAAGGCCUUCGGGUUGUAAAGUACUUUCAGCGGGGAGGAAGGCGAUAAGGUUAAUAACCUUGUCGAUUGACGUUACCCGCAGAAGAAGCACCGGCUAACUCCGUGCCAGCAGCCGCGGUAAUACGGAGGGUGCAAGCGUUAAUCGGAAUUACUGGGCGUAAAGCGCACGCAGGCGGUCUGUCAAGUCGGAUGUGAAAUCCCCGGGCUCAACCUGGGAACUGCAUUCGAAACUGGCAGGCUAGAGUCUUGUAGAGGGGGGUAGAAUUCCAGGUGUAGCGGUGAAAUGCGUAGAGAUCUGGAGGAAUACCGGUGGCGAAGGCGGCCCCCUGGACAAAGACUGACGCUCAGGUGCGAAAGCGUGGGGAGCAAACAGGAUUAGAAACCCCGGUAGUCCCAUGA
rnacentral:rRNA from 1 species